UACGUAGGGGGCAAGCGUUGUCCGGAAUCAUUGGGCGUAAAGAGCGCGUAGGCGGCCCUGUAAGUCCGCUGUGAAAGUCAAGGGCUCAACCCUUGGAUGCCGGUGGAUACUGCAGGGCUGGAGUCCGGAAGAGGCGAGUGGAAUUCCUGGUGUAGCGGUGAAAUGCGCAGAUAUCAGGAGGAACACCGAUGGCGAAGGCAGCUCGCUGGGACGGUACUGACGCUGAGGCGCGAAAGCGUGGGGAGCAAACAGG
rnacentral:rRNA from 1 species